CCUACGGGAGGCAGCAGUGAGGAAUAUUGGUCAAUGGACGAGAGUCUGAACCAGCCAAGUAGCGUGAAGGAUGACGGCCCUAUGGGUUGUAAACUUCUUUUAUAUGGGAAUAAAACUGAGUAUGCAUACCCUCUUGUAUGUACCAUAUGAAUAAGGAUCGGCUAACUCCGUGCCAGCAGCCGCGGUAAUACGGAGGGUCCGAGCGUUAUCCGGAUUUAUUGGGUUUAAAGGGAGCGUAGGUGGAUUGUUAAGUCAGUUGUGAAAGUUUGGGGCUUAACCGUAAAAUUGCAGUUGAAACUGGCAGUCGUGAGUACAGUAGAGGUAGGCGGAAGGCGUGGUGUAGCGGUGAAAUGCUUAGAUAUCACGAAGAACUCCGAUUGCGAAGGCAGCUCACUGGACUACAACUGACGCUGAGGCUCGAAAGUGUGGGGAUCAAACAGGAUUAGAUACCCCAGUAGUC
rnacentral:rRNA from 1 species